rnacentral:rRNA from 1 species
UACGAAGGGGGCUAGCGUUGCUCGGAAUCACUGGGCGUAAAGGGUGCGUAGGCGGGUCUUUAAGUCAGGGGUGAAAUCCUGGAGCUCAACUCCAGAACUGCCUUUGAUACUGAGGAUCUUGAGUUCGGGAGAGGUGAGUGGAACUGCGAGUGUAGAGGUGAAAUUCGUAGAUAUUCGCAAGAACACCAGUGGCGAAGGCGGCUCACUGGUCCGGUACUGACGCUGAGGUGCGAAAGCGUGGGAGCAAACAGG